rnacentral:rRNA from 1 species
AAACCAAAAGACUGGCGACCGGCGCACGGGUGAGUAACACGUAUCAACCUGCCUCAUACUCGGGGAUAGCCUUUCGAAAGAAAGAUUAAUAUCCGAUAGCAUAUAUUUCCCGCAUGGGUUUUAUAUUAAAGAAAUUCGGUAUGAGAUGGGGAUGCGUUCCAUUAGUUUGUUGGGGGGGUAACGGCCCACCAAGACUACGAUGGAUAGGGGUUCUGAGAGGAAGGUCCCCCACAUUGGAACUGAGACACGGUCCAA